GAUGAACGCUAGCGGCAGGCUUAACACAUGCAAGUCGAGGGGUAGAGGAAGCUUGCUUCCUUGAGACCGGCGCACGGGUGCGUAACGCGUAUGCAACCUACCUUUUACAGAGGGAUAGCCCAGAGAAAUUUGGAUUAAUACCUCAUGGUAUAUAUCAUUCGCAUGUUUGAUAUAUUAAAGUUCCAACAGUAAAAGAUGGGCAUGCGUCCUAUUAGCUAGAUGGUAAGGUAACGGCUUACCAUGGCAACGAUAGGUAGGGGUCCUGAGAGGGAGAUCCCCCACACUGGUACUGAGACACGGACCAGACUCCUACGGGAGGCAGCAGUGAGGAAUAUUGGACAAUGGGCGCAAGCCUGAUCCAGCCAUGCCGCGUGCAGGAAGAAGCAUCUAUGGUGUGUAAACUGCUUUUGUACGGGAAGAAACACUCCUUCGUGAAGGAGCUUGACGGUACCGUAAGAAUAAGGAUCGGCUAACUCCGUGCCAGCCGCCGCGGUAAUAC
rnacentral:rRNA from 1 species